rnacentral:rRNA from 1 species
UUACGGCCAUAAAUUGUUGAAAGAACGGUUCCUGUACGAUCACCGAAGUUAAGCAACGUUGAAACUGGUCAGUACCUAGAUGGGUGACCGCUUGGGAAUACCAGGUUUUGU